rnacentral:lncRNA from 1 species
AGCUUCACUUAUUUUCUUAGUUUAGAUCCAUUAUUAGGUCGUAGAUGUUCAAUAUAUUAGGAUUGAUCCCAGUGAAUAUGAAUUGUGAAAUUUCAACUUCUUCCUUUGAUCCUGUAGGAAGGGAUAUGGUACCAUAAGUGCAGCAGGUGGGAGGGGAUGGGGUGGAGGAGGUGGAGGUAGAGUAUCUUUGGAUUGCUACAGCAUACAAGAAGAUGUUAAAGUUGCUGUGCAUGGUUUGUACUGAUCACACCUCAGUCUGGUAGUAGAAGCAACAAUUAGUCAAAUGCUAAAUAUUUCGUUCUUGUCUAACAGUCUUAACUUUUCACACAAUCUGAGAGUGCAAGCUUGUGUUGGCUGCAUUGUUUAUUCACUAAAUCAAUGACAAUGUUAAACACUGAUCUUAAUGGAAAUGGUUAGUCAGCCUUUAAUUUAACAAUCUUGAUGAAAUUAUAGGCUUUGCUUGUGCAAAUGCCAAUACCUGAUAUUACAGGUACCAUACCCAUAUAUAUUUGUUUUUGUUAAUAAGUUUUUUAGUUGUAAGAAGGAAG